ACAAUAUUUUAUUCGAUACACAACAAAAACAGUACAGAACCACUGAUAAACUGCACAAUUAACCCAAAUAGUGAACACAAUAAUAGCAGGAAAUUUGUGUAAAAUGAGAUACUUGGAUUGACUUUGACAGAUUAUUUCCUCUUAAUAUUACAUGAGAUGAGUUUUCCUUUUCCUUUUUUAUUUUUUAAGUUUUUAACAAUCACAUACUCAACCGGCUUAAGCCUACUUUUUAACCAAUUCAGUGUUUUCUUCUCCCUGACACUUAACCAUUGUUCUGUCUGCUCUUUGGUUCUUUUAACUGCGUACUUUUCUAAUGCAGGACAAGGCUGUUACGUAGAGAGGAAAAGCUCGGUGAAUAUAACUUGUGUUCAGGUCUUCACUCCCCUGUGCCCUUAUCCUGUGAGUUUUUUAAAAUUUUUAUUUCAUAUCUUAAAUAAUAAUCCAAACUUUAGAAAUAUCAUUUCCAUUUGUAUGUAUAUUUAUUUCUUUAAAAAUGGUCUUACAUUUUUUAAAAUCCUAGCAGGCCUCACAAGCCCCUGUGAAGCUUUGGCGCCCCCCAGUGGAGCUCAGGACCCCCAGGUUGUAAACCAGUGUCCUACAUGAUCACAAGAGGGCGACACACUCCACAAAGCAGCUUUUGUCAAACUGCUAAAGUGAAUCCAAUGGAAGAUUUUCAAGUGCCAUCCUUUGACCCAGGUUUGGAGGUAAGGACAACCUUAUGGAUGUUGAUUUGAUUGUUUGUACAAUGCAUGAGUAGUGAUGAAAGCGACAGGAUUUACAUAGUCAUGUUUACACACACACCAUCAGCAGGUUUUAAUUUGAAGAAGCAAACAGGUACGUGACAUCCGUGCUCUCCACCUGCAUUUUUAUGUGGCAGGCUGCACAGUGUAACCUGAUUAACCGCAGUUGGCAUCAUGCUCACAGAAGGUCCAAGUCACAAUGACACAGCUUUUUAGAGCAUCCUGCCACCUUAAAUUGAUGUCAUCCAUUUCCUGUUGAAAUAAGAUCUUUGGGUGUGCGUCAAAGCACUAAACAUUGAGACAUCAGUGAGACAAAGCAGAGCAGUUUCAUAUGAUGGGAGGAGCAGGUUACUGUUCAGGAAUGUGUAAUGGUUUUAGGACAUCAAGUGAUGCACAAUGAAGUGAGCACUAAACAGUUUCCAAUUACCAGGAGUUUCAAGUAAGGACAUUUGACCUGACAUACAAGGACAUAAUGUCUCAUAAACUGUACACUUAAAGGACAGUAGGUGAAUAUACAACAAACUAAAAUGAAUGUCAUCCUCAAUAAAUCCUGUUGUCACAAAUGUUUUAAUGUUCACCUUUUGUUACAUCCCUGGAGGCUAUAGUUUUCGGGGCUGUUGAAUCGUAGUGUGUUGUACUGAGAGGUGUUUCUAAUACGAACUAACUUAACUAUUGUAUUAGAUUGUGUUUUAGCUAGGAGCAAACAAGAAGCUAAAAACUGAGUAUAUGUUGGGAUUUCUUAUGAAUAAGCUAAAACAGUCAAAUUAUAUUCAGUGCACUUUGGAGAGGUUUCAAAACAAACAACAGAAUUUCAGAAUUGCAAGAGUGGCAAUUUUUAUUUUCACCAAAAAAAAAAAAAAAAAUCAAAGAAACUUUCAACAGAACAUGUUCUGUAUUUGCACACAAGAUUCAAAACUCAGUGAAUAACUUAAGAAGGCAUCUAUGUUAGCAUAUCACAAGGUAGGCUACAUGAUAUUUUACUGCACAGUCUGUAGGUUUACCUCAGUCAGUUUAGCUCAUAUGUCUCUGGAAGAUUUGUGAAGUUUCUGUAAUGAAACAUUGGACCCGUGUGUAUCACAACAUAAUGAUAAGAAUAUAAGGAAAGAGAGGCUUGGCCUUUACAAUCAAUAUUUAAAAAGAAUAAGAA